UGACUUAGGUCUUUUUUUGUUCAGUGUUACACUUACAUAAGUGUGUUGUAAAAUAUUUGAGAAUAUUGUUUUUAUAGGCUACUCAUAACACACAAAUACACUGUAACAAAUAUAUUUUAUUUUUCCCCACAAAAGCAAUGUACAGUGUACAUCCCAACCAACAUACAUUUGCACAUACAGUGGUCUACAUAGAAAACAACAGCAGAAUUUACUGUAUACAGUUACAGUAAAAAAAAAUAACUAGCAUCCUCUCUUCUGGGUCUGCCCACAGCACCUCACCCACAUCACAAGCAUUAUACUAAAGCUCUGAUCGCUCACUGUAAAACUGUGUGACAGGUGUUUGCCCAUGUGAUGAGUCAGUGUGCAUAGUAGGGCAGUUAACUUUAGAAUUUGAAUAGCAGUGUGUUCCUUGUGAAAACAAGAUAUUAUGUUGUUUGUGUCAAAACUGCAAA